GCUGCCGUCCCAGAAGUCUCUGGGAAGCGUUCGCACUGCGCGGGAGACUCAAUGGUCUUAGGGAAGAUGGCGGCGCUGGAGUCGGGGUGUUAGAGUGAGUGCGGUCUGCGGCCGCGGCGCACGAGCCGACCAGGUGACUGUCCUUGGUGUGUGACCUGUGGCAGGUGGGCCCAAUGGAUCUGGCUUACGUCUGCGAGUGGGAGAAGUGGCCCAAGAGCACCCACUGUCCAUCAGUACCCCUGGCAUGUGCCUGGUCCUGCCGCAACCUCAUCGCUUUCACCACGGACCUCCGGAAUGAUGACCAGGACCUGACCCGCCUGAUCCACAUCCUGGACACGGAGCACCCCUGGGACGUGCACUCCAUCAGCUCAGAGCACAGCGAGGCCAUCACCUGCCUUGAGUGGGACCAGUCAGGCUCCCGGCUCCUGUCAGCUGAUGCUAAUGGGCAGAUCAAGUGCUGGAGCAUGGCGGACCACCUGGCCAACAGCUGGGAGAGCCCUGUGGGAAGCCUGGUGGAGGGGGACCCCAUUGUGGCCCUGUCUUGGCUACACAACGGUGUGAAGUUGGCACUGCAUGUGGAAAAGUCAGGCGCUUCCAGCUUUGGGGAGAAGUUCUCCCGUGUCAAGUUCUCACCGUCCCUCACGCUGUUUGGGGGCAAGCCCAUGGAGGGCUGGAUUGCGGUGACGGUCAGCGGUCUGGUCACCGUGUCCCUACUCAAGCCCAGUGGGCAGGUGCUGACAUCGACGGAGAGCCUAUGCCGGCUGCGUGGCCGCGUUGCCCUGGCGGACAUCGCCUUCACGGGCGGUGGCAACAUCGUGGUGGCCACGGCAGAUGGCAGCAGCGCCUCUCCCGUGCAGUUCUACAAGGUGUGUGUGAGUGUGGUCAGCGAGAAGUGUCGCAUCGACACCGAGAUCCUGCCCUCGCUCUUCAUGCGCUGCACCACCGACCUCAACCGCAAGGACAAGUUUCCCGCCAUCACCCACCUCAAAUUCCUGGCCCGUGACAUGUCCGAGCAGGUGCUGUUGUGCGCGUCCAACCAGACAAGCAGCAUUGUGGAGUGCUGGUCCCUGCGGAAGGAAGGGCUUCCCGUGAACAACAUUUUCCAGCAGAUCUCUCCUGUGGUUGGUGACAAGCAGCCCAUGAUUCUCAAGUGGCGGAUCUUGUCGGCCACCAAUGACCUGGACCGAGUUUCUGCUGUGGCACUACCCAAGCUGCCUAUCUCACUCACCAACACGGACCUGAAGGUGGCCAGCGACACGCAGUUCUACCCUGGCCUCGGGCUGGCCUUGGCCUUCCAUGAUGGCAGCGUCCACAUUGUGCACCGGCUGUCACUGCAGACCAUGGCCAUAUUCUACAGCUCUACAGCUCCACGCUCCAUGGAUGAGCCAGCCAUUAAGCGCCCCCGGACCACGGGCCCUGCCGUUCACUUUAAGGCCAUGCAACUGUCCUGGACCUCCUUGGCCCUUGUGGGCAUUGACAACCACGGGAAGCUGAGCAUGCUGCGCAUCUCGCCCUCCAUGGGCCACACACUGGAUGUGAACCUGGCCCUGCGGCACUUGCUUUUCCUGCUGGAAUACUGCAUGGUGACCGGCUAUGACUGGUGGGACAUCCUGCUUCACGUGCAGCCCACGAUGGUGCAGAGCCUGGUGGAGCGGCUGCACGAGGAGUACACGCGCCAGAAAGCUGCCCUGCAGCAGGUCCUCUCCACCCGGAUCCUGGCCAUGAAGGCCUCACUCUGCAAGCUGUCGCCCUGCACUGUGACCCUCGUGUGUGACUACCAUGCCAAGCUCUUUCUCAUCGCCAUCAGCUCCACGCUCAAGUCCCUGCUGCGCCCGCAUAUCCUCAAUACGCCCGAUAAGAGUCCUGGCGACCGGCUGACCGAGAUCUGUGCCAAGAUCACAGACGUCGAUAUUGACAAGGUCAUGAUCAACCUCAAGACAGAGGAGUUUGUCCUGGACAUGAACACACUCCAGGCUCUGCAACAGCUCCUACAGUGGGUGGGAGACUUCGUGCUCUACCUGCUGGCGAGCCUGCCCAACCAGGGUGCCCCUCUGCGGCCUGGACACAGCUUCCUGCGGGAUGGUACCUCACUUGGUAUGUUGCGGGAACUGAUGGUAGUCAUCCGCAUCUGGGGCCUGCUGAAGCCCAGCUGCCUGCCUGUGUACACGGCUACCUCUGACACCCAGGACAGCAUGUCCCUGCUCUUCCGUCUGCUCACCAAGCUCUGGAUCUGCUGCCGUGAUGAGGGCCCCACGAGCGAGCCAGAUGAGGCACUUGUCGACGAGUGCUGCCUGCUGCCCAGCCAGCUGCUCAUCCCCAGCCUGGACUGGCUGCCUGUCAGCGACGGCCUGGUCAGCCGCCUGCAGCCCAAGCAGCCCCUGCGUCUGUACUUCGGCAAGGCCCCCACUCUGCCCGGCAGCACCACCACCUUACAGCUGGAUGGCCUUAUCAGGGCAACUGGACAGCCCAAGAUCGACCAUCUGCGGAGGCUGCACCUGGGAGCCUUCCCCACGGAGGAGUGCAAGUCCUGUACGAGGUGUGGCUGUGUCACCAUGCUCAAGUCACCCAAUAAGACAACGGCUGUCAAACAGUGGGAACAGCGCUGGAUCAAGAACUGCCUGUGUGGGGGGCUCUGGCGGCGGAUGCCCCUCAGCUGCCCCUGACUGGGGUCCUCAGGCCCUGUAAACAGAGUCCUGAUGGAUGUUAUGGAAAGGUGACUCUGUCCCUUCCCGGUGACAGCAUUCUACAUACUCAGGACUUUAUGGGGUGUGUUAAAAAAGUCAUUCUUGACCUGUGACUUUAGGGGCCUUGCCAGCCAAGACCAUCAUCCCUGUGAGGACAGUUGAGGACUUGGUCUGAAGCCUCAGGUUGCUGCCUCUCGCCUGGGGACACCGCUGUGUCUCUCUCAGAGCCUGGUGGUGCCUCCCAGGUGGUGGGACUCUGUUUUACAGCUGCACCUGUACCCGAGCUGGGUGCCGGCUGAAACACACCCAGGCCCACCCACAGGUCUCACAGCUCCAGUGCCCCAAGCUCCCCCUGUUCCCGGGUGCCCCAGUCUCACAGUUCAGAGGUUUCAGGACAGUCUGGCUGUUGGUCUUUUAAAAUGUCUCAUGUGAACUGUUGGGUGUCCAGCAGUUUCUACCAAUGACACUGGUCAGGUAUCCUCUUCGGUUUCUUCACCCAUACCUGCUGAUGCUGUACCUGCUCAUCCAGGUGGCUCUGACCUUGGCAGCCCAAUAAACAUUCAGCUUUGUUGGGUCACAGCUAAAUGGCUGUGUGAUGGGCAUUGCCCCAGCAGACCCCCAAGGUCCCACCUAGUCCCGAGUCUCCCACCCCCAUCGUGCAUUUAUGGGCAUUUCUGUUUCCACGUGCCUGUAUGUGUCACUCUUGCUCUGUCAGCAUUUAUGGAGCACCUAGUGUAUGCCUGAUACAGGGGUCUGCAGGGAGCAGCAGGCUGGGCAUGGGUAAGGACUGUGCCUGGCUUGCUCUGCUUCUCUGUAGGUGGGUGGGUCUCUGCCUCAUCUGUCUUCAAGUGUGUGCAUCUCUCCUUGCUCUCUGCCUUUGUCUUCCCCACCCAGCCCCCAGUGCAGAGCUGCUCAGGCCUCAUGCCCCUGGGGUCCCGCCUCCUAUCACCAGCAGGUACUUUCUGGGUUAUGUCCCACACCCCCGCAGUAGAUGCACUGACCUGCCUGUUAAGUGGUAAUUGGUUCUUAUGUUUUUCUUCUGGAAGCUCAAGGGAGGCAGGCCAGGUGGGUGCCCCACAGAAGGUAAUGCUUUCACUGCGGCACAGGUGUGUUUUGAGCUCUCAGGAUGGUGGGAGCUCAGGGAGCCCCUUGUCUGGAUCGGGGCCAUGUUUCAAGCCCAUCUGCCCAUGGCUGCAGGGCUCCGGCAGUGUCCAGUCCUGUUGGAUUCCUGCUGUGUAACCAGUGCCAGGAGGCACGCCUUGUUUACCUACACUGCCUUCUGACUGGAAGUCCCAAAUGGGCGCAGUUUCUCACACACGGAGUUCAUGAACGCUGUGGAGAACCUCCCACCCAUCAUGGGAAAGCCUAAAUGAGGGAGAUCCAAUGCAACAGAGUAUGUGGCCCGUUCUUAUGCACAAGGCUGGGAGUCCGCUGUGCCCGCCACGCCCGGCGUGGGGCCGAGCACACAGAAGGAAUUCCACAAAUACUUGUGUAUGAAUGAAUGCUUCAUGGUACAAAACCAAAACCCUCCCACAGGUUCCAGUUCUAACUCCCCAGUCCCCCGGGGGGGGGGGGGGCAAAUGGCUUCACCUGUCACACCCUCCAACUCUUUCAACAAGAGGGAACUUCAUGAACACCCGUUGGGGACCAGGCUUAACCCCUGGAGCCUGGUAGGUGCUGGGCCCCAGUGGCCCCUCAUCCAGGCAGGCAAAGGGGCACAGAGUCUUGGAGCCUCGGUUCUACCCUGUCCCCUUCCUGUCAUUGCCCAGAAGGAUGGCAGUGAGUCUGGGGGUGCAGGGCGGAGCUGUGUGGCUGCUCUGGGAUACCCAUCAAUCUGUUUCUGUGACCCUCUUAGCCCAAGAAAUGCUUAUGAACACAGGCACCAUGGUGCUAGGUUUGAAUCCGGACUCUGCCAAGGAGCUUCUGUGUGACCUCAGGAGUCAGGAGGGCUCUCCAAGCCUGUUCCCCAAUUUGUGACCUGGUCACAAGAGCACAACUUCAGAGUUUCUGUACACCUGAGUCUCAAUUCAGAGCAGGUCUAGCACACACAGGCCCCCAUGUUACACCUGGGAAGCAAAGGGAGAGCUGGCCAUUAGCCAGACCAAGGGGGACACGCCCACACGGGCCUUCGGGAACUUCAGGUGUCCUCUGGACUCCUAGAAAGGAGUAAGGGUGCCACCAUGUGGCUGAGGCAUGGAGGUACCUGGCAGCUUCAGACCCUGGUCUGCCAGCUUUUUACCCCUACCCUCACCCCGAGGUCCUCCCAGCCAGGUUCACCACCUUUCAGCCUUCCUGUCACCUCCUGGCAUGGCAUUACUGGUGCACAUGCUUUUGUUUGCAGGUCAUGCUGUGUGUGCUCAAGAUAGCAGCAUCGGAAGCAGCUGGACUUGCCUAAUCUGCAGCUGAAUGAAUAGCAAAUGAGAAAGAAACAACAAAGAAGGCUGGGGGUCGACAGGGUGGCAGGGGCUCUAUUCGGGGACUUGGCCUGCAAGGUCAGCACAGCGCAUUUCCAGCGAGACUUCCUGAAGGCUCUGCCUCCAGAGACAACAGGGCAGAACCAUGUGCACCUAGUCUCCCUGCCAGGGAGUCAUUCAGGUCCUCGGGCCAGAGCCCCAGGUGUUGUAAUACCAGCCCAGCUCCAACCCACUUCCCAAACUACCCUGCACAGAAUGCCUACACGCUAUGUCAGACCACUUUCUAAAUAACUAAUGAGGGAAGGAAUGUAUAGAGAAGAUUGGAGAGUGAACUGCAGUCACUCUCCCUGGGUAGGGGGAUCAGAGGGGCCACGAGCACCAUUGUAUGUGUCUACUACACCUCUAGAGGGCAGUAGGAGCUCUAUCCAGGGGCUUUGGCCUGCCUUCAAGGUAGAUUCCAAACAAAGAAAGCAAGCAGGGUCCACAGGGCAUCGCCACCCUCACCUGGACUCCCCAGCUCUGUGGGCAAGUGCCCCAGGUACCUUCGGCUCCCGCUGGCUUCCCAAACCACCUAGCACAUGCAGACACCUCCACAUCAGGCCACUUUCUCAAGACUGUCUAAUUCAUGUAAACAAACAUAGAAGUCAAACAAAAUGAAAUGCCAGAAUAUCUAUCUCUCAACUGAGGGGACAAGAAAAGUCUCCAGAAAAAAAGUAAAUAAUUUGCCUGAUAAAGAAUUCAAAGAAGAAGUCAUCAGGAUGCUCACCAAACUUGAGUGGAAUACAGGAACUUAGAACUUCAGCAGAGAAUUAGAAAGUAUAAGAAAGAACCAAGCAGGCCUAAAGAAUAUAAUAACUGAAAUUUAAAAAACACACACACAUUAGAAGGAAUUAACAGCGGAUUAGCUAGUACAAAAUAAUGGAUCAGUGGAAGACAGACUAGUGGAAAUCAACCAAUCAUAACAGGAGAAAUAAUUAAAAGCCACAAGGAUAGUUUAAGGGACCUCUGGGAUAACAGCAUGCAUUCCAACAUUCACAUUGUAGGCAUCCCAAAAGGAGAAGAAAGGCAGAAAGCCACAGAGACUUUACUUAAAGAAAUAAUGGCUAAAAACUUUCCUAAUAUGGGAAAGGAAACAGAAACAGACUUCCAAGUGCAGGAAGCACAGAGAGUUCCAAACAGGAGGAACCCAAAGAGACUCCACCAAGACAUGUUGUAGUUAAAAUGGCAAACGUUAGAGACAACCCUGAAGGCAGCAAGAGGAAAACAAAGUAUUACAUACAAAGGAAAUCCCAUAAGGCUAUCAGCUGAUAUCUCACAAAAAUAAACUCUAAAUGGAUUAAAGACUUAAAUGUAAGACCCAAAACGAUAAAACUCCUAGAAGACAUUGGUGGUAAACUCCUUUACAUCACUCUUAUUGAAAUCUUUUUGUAUAUGUUUCCUCGGGUAAAGGAAACAA